rnacentral:rRNA from 1 species
UACGAAGGGGGCUAGCGUUGCUCGGAAUCACUGGGCGUAAAGCGCACGUAGGCGGUUUGCUAAGUCAGGGGUGAAAUCCUGGAGCUCAACUCCAGAACUGCCUUCGAUACUGGAAAGCUCGAGUCCGGGAGAGGUGAGUGGAACUGCGAGUGUAGAGGUGAAAUUCGUAGAUAUUCGCAAGAACACCAGUGGCGAAGGCGGCUCACUGGCCCGGUACUGACGCUGAGGUGCGAAAGCGUGGGGAGCAAACAGG